rnacentral:rRNA from 1 species
UACGAAGGGGGCUAGCGUUGCUCGGAAUCACUGGGCGUAAAGCGCACGUAGGCGGAUUGUUAAGUCAGGGGUGAAAUCCUGGAGCUCAACUCCAGAACUGCCUUUGAUACUGGCGAUCUCGAGUCCGGGAGAGGUGAGUGGAACUGCGAGUGUAGAGGUGAAAUUCGUAGAUAUUCGCAAGAACACCAGUGGCGAAGGCGGCUCACUGGCCCGGUACUGACGCUGAGGCACGAAAGCGUGGGGAGCAAACAGG